rnacentral:lncRNA from 1 species
UUGUUAUAAAAUUUCCAAUUCAACCAUCUUGCCCUCCGUUGUGGCCUUCAGGAGGCGGUUGGUGGGAAGAGGCGAGUGAGCCUGCCCGUGCGUCCCGCAUGGAGACGUCUGGAUUGGAAACUACCGAAAGAUGUUUCAAGGAACUCUCCCUGGGUGACACGCUGGUUUUCAGACGUUUGAUUCAGCUGCUGCAGUUUCCUCCUCCCUGACACGGGAACUGAACUGCAGGCCGCGGCGAGCCAGCCAGGGAAACCGCCUUCUCCCUGGGCUCGGAGCUGCUGCCGGUUCUGGAGGGAGAGACCCCAGCAAGGAGGUGGUGACUCAUGGGCCGCUCCUCCCCGCCCCGCCCCGCCCCUC